rnacentral:rRNA from 1 species
CUACGGGAGGCAGCAGUGGGGAAUUUUACGCAAUGGGCGAAAGCCUGACGUAGCGACACCGCGUGAGCGAAGAAGCCCUUUGGGGUGUAAAGCUCUGUCAGCUGGAACGAAAUCAAUGACGGUACCAGCAGAGGAAGCAUCGGCUAACUACGUGCCAGCAGCCGCGGUAAGACGUAGGAUGCAAGCGUUGUCCGGAUUUAUUGGGCGUAAAGAGUUCGUAGGCGGUUCGUUAAGUCUGAUGUUAAAGAUCGGGGCUCAACCUCGGGAGUGCAUUGGAUACUGGCGAGCUGGAGUGCGGUAGAGGUAAGUGGAAUUCCCAGUGUAGCGGUGAAAUGCGUAGAUAUUGGGAAGAACACCAGUGGCGUAGGCGACUUACUGGGCCGUAACUGACGCUGAGGAACGAAAGCCAGGGGAGCAAACAGGAUUAGAUACCCUAGUAGUCC